rnacentral:rRNA from 1 species
UGGCGGACGGGUGAGUAAUGUCUGGGGAACUGCCUGAUGGGGGGGGAUAACUACUGGAAACGGUAGCUAUACCGCAUAACGUCGCAAGACCAAAGAGGGGGACCUUCGGGCCUCUUGCCAUCGGAUGUGCCCAGAUGGGAUUAGCUAGUAGGUGGGGUAAAGGCUCACCUAGGCGACGAUCCCUAGCUGGUCUGAGAGGAUGACCAGCCACACUGGAACUGAGACACGGUCCAG